GCGAGAGAUGGAGAGAGGAGGAACUCUAAAGUAAAACCCUGCCCUCUAUUCAACAUUCCGUUUCACUUGGAAAUACGUCACAACAUUGGAGAAAUGUCGUUUGCAAUUUCCGGUUCACGGGGACUUUAAAUUAAAUGAACCAAAGUUUAAAAUGCUAACUUUUUGAUCAAUAAUAUCUCCAUAUGUUUCAGCAAGCUGAUAAUCCUCUCUGUAGUGUCAUCACCUGAGGAGACACAAAGAGGGUCACCUGCAGAGCUGAAAUCUUCUCCACGAGCAGCAGAGGGCAGUGGAGCAGGAUCAUCUUUCGGACUAAACUGAAUCUUCUUCACAAUCAACUCCAAUUCUUCUGACACCGUCUCAAAAUUUACUAGAUAUGGACCAACAAUACAGUGGCAUUCAAGUAUGAAGGCCUGUUCACACCAGAAUUAAUAUUUGGCACAAAAACACAAAUUUAUAUGGAAAUACUGCAGUUAUCCA